UUUGUUUGGAGAGUUUGAUCCUGGCUCAGGACGAACGCUGGCGGCGUGCUUAACACAUGCAAGUCGAACGGAAAGGCCCUUCGGGGUACUCGAGUGGCGAACGGGUGAGUAACACGUGGGUGAUCUGCCCUGCACUUUGGGAUAAGCCUGGGAAACUGGGUCUAAUACCGAAUAGGACCACGCGCUUCAUGGUGUGUGGUGGAAAGCUUUUGCGGUGUGGGAUGGGCCCGCGGCCUAUCAGCUUGUUGGUGGGGUAAUGGCCUACCAAGGCGACGACGGGUAGCCGGCCUGAGAGGGUGACCGGCCACACUGGGACUGAGAUACGGCCCAGACUCCUACGGGAGGCAGCAGUGGGGAAUAUUGCACAAUGGGCGCAAGCCUGAUGCAGCGACGCCGCGUGAGGGAUGACGGCCUUCGGGUUGUAAACCUCUUUCACCAGGGACGAAGCGUAAGUGACGGUACCUGGAGAAGAAGCACCGGCCAACUACGUGCCAGCAGCCGCGGUAAUACGUAGGGUGCGAGCGUUGUCCGGAAUUACUGGGCGUAAAGAGCUCGUAGGUGGUUUGUCGCGUUGUUCGUGAAAACUCACAGCUUAACUGUGGGCGUGCGGGCGAUACGGGCAGACUAGAGUACUGCAGGGGAGACUGGAAUUCCUGGUGUAGCGGUGGAAUGCGCAGAUAUCAGGAGGAACACCGGUGG
rnacentral:rRNA from 1 species